CCUACGGGAGGCAGCAGUGAGGAAUAUUGGUCAAUGGACGAGAGUCUGAACCAGCCAAGUAGCGUGAAGGAUGACUGCCCUAUGGGUUGUAAACUUCUUUUAUAAAGGAAUAAAACGAGGCACGUGUGCCUUUUUGCAUGUACUUUAUGAAUAAGGAUCGGCUAACUCCGUGCCAGCAGCCGCGGUAAUACGGAGGAUCCGAGCGUUAUCCGGAUUUAUUGGGUUUAAAGGGAGCGUAGAUGGGUUGUUAAGUCAGUUGUGAAAGUUUGCGGCUCAACCCCGGCGAGCCGUUGAAACUGUCGGACUAGAGACGGCGAGAAGUACGCGGAAUGCGCGGUGUAGCGGUGAAAUGCAUAGAUAUCGCGCAGAACUCCGAUUGCGAAGGCAGCGUACCGGCGCCGGACUGACGCUGAGGCACGAAAGCGUGGGUAUCGAACAGGAUUAGAUACCCCGGUAGUC
rnacentral:rRNA from 1 species